rnacentral:lncRNA from 10 species
CCCCGACUCCCUGCCCUCCCCAGUGUGGUUAUUUGAGAAAAGGCAGCUUGGGUGAGGGGGAAGGGAUUGGGGCUGAGAGGGGUAUAGUCUGCCUCCCCACCCACGGCUGGUGGAACCUGAGGGCCCCCGGCGCCACCAGAGCUUCGUGGCUUAAUGGGGGAGGCGAGGAGCCACUGCGGACCUGCUCGGGACAGUGAAGGGCGCCAGUCUCAGCCCUCAUCUGAAACCUGCUCCGUGACCCUGGACUAGUUCCUGCUCCUCUCUGGACCAAAUCCUGGCCCUGCUCCUUUCUGGCUGAGUAACUUUGGAGCUGUGCCCUGAAACCCUCUGCCCUGCUGAAGAAUGGAGAGGACUCCCCCACCAGCACCUCCACCUAGGACACAUGGGAACUGUGGGACUUGGAGCAAAGUUUUCAAGUCUCUGUGCCUUAGUUUCCUCACCUGUAAGUUGGGGGAAUGAUAGUAACUGCUCUUAAGAGCUGCUGUAGGAAUUGAGAUCUUGCAUGAAAAAGGAUAAAACCAAUUGAUAUGGUUUAGUUCUUAGUCCCCACCCAAAUCUCAUGUCCAGUUAUGAUCCUCAGUGUAGGAGGAGGGACCUCGUGGGAGGUGAUUGGAUCGUGGGGGCAGUUUCUAAUGUUUUAGCACCAUCCUCCUAGUGCUGCUUGUUUAAAAGUGUGUAGCACCCCACCUUCCUCUCCUGCCGGCCAUGUGAAGACGUGCUUGCUUCCCUUUCACCAUCUGCCAUGAUUGUAAGUUUCCUGAGGUCUCCCCAGAAGCAGAAGCCUGUAUAGCCCACAGAAUCAUGAGCUGA